rnacentral:rRNA from 1 species
CACUCUAGAGAGACUGCCAGGUAUAAUCUGGAGGAAGGUGGGGAUGACGUCAAAUCAUCAUGCCCCUUAUGCUUAGGGCUACACACGUGCUACAAUGGGUAGUACAGAGGGUUGCCAAGCCGUAAGGUGGAGCUAAUCCCUUAAAGCUACUCUCAGUUCGGAUUGUAGGCUGAAACUCGCCUACAUGAAGCUGGAGUUACUAGUAAUCGCAGACCAGAAUGCGGCGGUGAAUGCGUUCCCGGGUCUUUUACACACCGCCCGUCACACCACGGGAGUUGGAGACGCCCGAAGCCGAUUAUCUAACCUUUUGGAAGAAGUCGUCG